UACGAAGGUCCCGAGCGUUAUCCGGAUUUAUUGGGUUUAAAGGGUGCGUAGGCGGGUUAUUAAGUCAGUGGUGAAAGCCUACAGCUUAACUGUAGAAUUGCCAUUGAUACUGAUGAUCUUGAGUAUGAUUGAGGUGGGCGGAAUGUGUCAUGUAGCGGUGAAAUGCUUAGAUAUGACACAGAACACCGAUUGCGAAGGCAGCUCACUAAGUCAUAACUGACGCUGAUGCACGAAAGCGUGGGGAGCAAACCGG
rnacentral:rRNA from 1 species